AGCCUGAACGCUGGCGGCGUGGUUAAGACAUGCAAGUCGCACGGACGUAGCAAUACGUUAGUGGCGAACGGGUGAGUAAUGAAUCGCUAAUGUACCCCGGACUCUGGGAUAGCCGGUCGAAAGAUCGGGUAAUACCAGAUGAUAUAUUCUUAUCGCAUGAUGAGAAUCUCAAAGGUCCGCCGGUCUGGGAGCAGGCGAUUUUGUAUCAGCUAGUUGGUGAGGUAACGGCUCACCAAGGCGACGACGCAUAGCCGGACUGAGAGGUUGGCCGGCCACAUUGGGACUGAGACACUGCCCAGACUCCUACGGGGGGCUGCAGUAACGAAUCUUCCGCAAUGUACGAAAGUAUGACGGAGCGACGCCGCGUGUAGGACGAAGCCCGUUCGGGGUGUAAACUACUGUCAAGGGUUAGAAAGUUCUGAUCAACCCUAGAGGAAGGCACGGCUAACUCUGCGCCAGCAGCCGCGGUAA
rnacentral:rRNA from 1 species